GACGAACGCUGGCGGCGUGCCUAAUACAUGCAAGUAGAACGCUGAAGGAGGAGCUUGCUCUUCUGGAUGAGUUGCGAACGGGUGAGUAACGCGUAGGUAACCUGCCUGGUAGCGGGGGAUAACUAUUGGAAACGAUAGCUAAUACCGCAUAAUAGUAGAUGUUGCAUGAUAUUUACUUAAAAGGUGCAAUUGCACCACUACCAGAUGGACCUGAGUUGUAUUAUCUAGUUGGUGGGGUAACGGCUCACCAAGGCGACGAUACAUAGCCGACCUGAGAGGGUGAUCGGCAAAGCUGGGCCUGGGGCACGGCCCAGAAUACUAGGGGAGGCAGCAGUAGGGGAUCUUCAGCAAUGGAAGAAAGUCUGACCGAGCAACGCCGCGUGAGAGACGAAGGCUUUCGGAUCGUAAAGCUCUGUUGUAAGAGAAGAACGAGUGUGAGAGUGGAAAGUUCACACUGUGACGGUAUCUGAACAGAAAGGGACGGCUAACUACGUG
rnacentral:rRNA from 1 species